rnacentral:rRNA from 1 species
UACGUAGGGUGCAAGCGUUGUCCGGAAUUAUUGGGCGUAAAGAGCUCGUAGGCGGUUUGUCGCGUCGAAUGUGAAAACCCGGGGCUCAACCCCGGGCCUGCAUUCGAUACGGGCAGACUAGAGUUCGGUAGGGGAGUCUGGAAUUCCUGGUGUAGCGGUGAAAUGCGCAGAGUAUCAGGAGGAACACCGGUGGCGGAAGGCGGGACUCUGGGCCGAUACUGACGCUGAGGAGCGAAGCGUGGGGAGCAAACAGG